GGGGAUGUAAAGGUUUCGACGGAAAGCGUACUUUAAAAACUGCAAGCCGAGUUUGACUAAAACUUGUAAAAAGAGUCAAAAAAAUAAAAGCUAACAAAAGUUAUACUCCUGUUUACGCAAACGCUUAAACAGCAUCUGUUGAUUUGAUUCUCAACCGAAUCAGAUAGGUGUAAACCAGUUGAGGUGCGGCUAGUUGCUUUUGACUUAAAGUAUCUUGCUUAAGAAAGUUAAGUCUUACUCUAGAUUUUUUGGUUAAUUUUUUAGUCUGGAGGAAAUUUUAAAGAUAACUAAGCUUGUAGAAGUUUUUAGGUAACUUUUUCGGACGCGGGUUCGACUCCCGCCGUCUCCACAG
rnacentral:tmRNA from 2 species